rnacentral:lncRNA from 10 species
UUCUCCUGCCUCAGCCUCCCGAGUAGCUGGGAUUACAGGUGUGAGCCAUCCAUAUUAUAUAGGUAUAUUAAAAUAUCACAUUGUACCCCAUAAAUGUAUACAACUCUGAUUUGCCAUUUAAAAAUACUAUUAAUACUUUUCUUAGAAAAAAGAGAGAAAUAAACUUUAAGAAUUGGGCCAGAGAAAAAAGUGUUUUUUUCAUCUUAAAAUUCAAGACAAAAAAUAUUUAAAAAUUUUAAUGGAAUGAUAUAGUGACAAAACCUAUCAAAACCUCUGAGAUACAGCAAAGGCCGUGCUAAGAGGAAAGUCCAUAGCUUUAAAUGUCUACAUCAAAAAGUCUGAAAGAGCACAAUAUACUAAGGUCACACCUCAAGGAACUAGAGAAACAAGAACAAACCAAACCCAAACCCAGCAGAAGAAAGGAAACAACCUAGCUCAGUGCAGAACUAAAUAAGAUUAAAAAGAAAAAAAGACAAAUGAAACAUAAACCUGGUUUUUUAAAGGAUAAAUAACAUUGAUGGACCAUUAGCAAGAUUAAGAAAAAAAGAGAGAAUAUUCAAUUAAGCUUAAUUAGAAACAAAACAGGAAAUAUUACAACUGACAUCACAGAAAUACAAAAGAUCAUUCAAGGCUACUAUGAACACCUUUACACACAUAAACACAAAAAUCUAGAGGAGAUAAAUUAAUUCCUGCAAAUGUACAACCCUCCUAGCUUAAAUCGGGAAAAAUCAGAAACCCUGAACAGACCAAUAACAAGCAGUGAGAUUAAAAUCGUAAUUUAAAAAAUUAACAACAAAAGAAGUCCAAGACCAGACAGACUCACAGCAGAAUUCUACCCAACAUUAAAAGGAAAAUUGGUACCAAUCCUAUUGACACUAUUCCACACGACACGGUAAGAGGGAACCUCCAUAAUUCAUUGUAUGAAGCCAGCAUCACCCUAAUACCAAAACCAGAAAAGGACAUAGCCAAAAAAGAAGACUACAGACUGACCUAAUGAACAUACUGGCAUACUCAAUUAUAAUAUAAACUAAAAAACCAAAACAAUUAACUCAUGUGAGGUGGCAUAUCCUAAAAUAUAUAAAACAAAAAUAUAAAAUUCCAAAAGAAAAUUAAAACAUGAAAUGUAAAACUUAUUGGACACCAUCAAGUACAUCAAUAUAUUCAUUAAAAAACUCUUAGAAGAAGAAUGUAGGGAAAAAGUAAUGUAGAGGUUACUUGUAGAUGAAAAAGGCUAAGAACUUCCCAAAUUUUGAUGCAGUAAUAAAAUUCCUAACCAAGAAUACUUGAUUCAAGAUUAGUGUACUUUAAAAACAGAUAAAAAUAAAGACUUUUCAAAAUAAAAGGUGACAGUGUUAUGAUUCAUUAUGACUAGCACAGUUCUACAUGAAGGGCUACAUAGUAGCCUGGCAAAGUGGAUUAUUUCUGUAAUCCCACAUCUUUAGGGAGGCCAAGGCAGUAAGAUAACUUGAGACCAGGAGUUCAAGAUCAGCCUGAGCAACACAGUAAGACUCUGCAUAUAAACAAACAGAAAUGCUAAAAUGAGUCCAUUAUUUAAAAAAAAAAAAUGAUGCUGGACAGCAUCAUAAAACUAUAUAUAAAUAUAAAGCUAUUAAAUGUAAAUAUACACACACACAUACAAUUCUUUACUCUCAUAAUGAUGGAGCAUAAAACCUUUAAAGUUAUUCUAUAUGAGAAACUAAAAAUAAGUCUGCAUAAAUCUGUCGAUACCCAAUAAAAAAUAAUAGUUUUUAACAUCAACAAAAAACUGGAAAACAUAUUAGUUUUUGCAUUAAAUUGAAGUUGUUAUGAAAUUAAAAUAUAUUGUUUUAACUUUAAGAUGUUUUAUGUAAUCUCCACUUUUCAAGAUAAUUACAUUGUAUUUCCAGAAAGUAUGUGAAACAAAUUUUAAAAUAAUCAAAGUAUGUCACAACAAACUUAACCAAAAAUUGGCAGGGCAAGGUGGCUCACACCUGUAAUCCCUGCAUUUUGGGAGGCCGAGGUGGGCCGAUCACCUGAGGUCGGGAGUUCGAGGCCAUCCUGGCCAACAUGGCGAAACCCCUUCUCUACUAAAAGUACAAAAAUUAACUGGGUGUGGUGGCAGGUGCCGGUAAUUCCAGCUACUCAGGAGGAUGGGGCAGGAGAAUCACUUGAACCCAGGAGGCGGAGGCUGCAGUGAGCCGAGAUCACGCCAUUGCACUCCAGCCUGGGCAAUAAGAGCAAGAUUCUGUCUCAAAUAAAUAAAUAAAUAAAUAAACAAACAAAAAUAAGCACUAAAAUGAACAA